UGGGGUUAGUAUUUCCUUUUGGUUUGAUAAUUGGGUGUAGGGCUGGCAAAAACUGACCCAACCUGAUAACCCGACUUGAAAAUUCUGGGUUUGGGUUGAGAUUUUCGACCUGAAAAAAAAAUGGGUCGACCCAACCCGACCUGAAAAUAUAAUGGGUUAGGUUCAGGUUGAGAUUUUGAACCUGAAAACAACCCGAAAUGACCUGAAGUAAAAAUAACUUAAACUUUCUUAUAAUAUUGGGCCAAGCCCAAUAAGUCAAUAACCCUAAGGCUAAGCCUUUUUUUACUGUGGUAUGCCGUUUGUGCAAUUACAAUCAAAAGCUGAAAAAUCAAAACCCUAGAGUAUAGAGUAGAGAGAGACUAGAGACUUCUCUCAAAAAAAAAACCCCAGAGAAGAAGAACAGACAUUACGUUCUUCGAAAUUCUUCGCCAUCUGAAAAAUACGUUCUGCUAAAUCUUCAAAGGCUAACAAUGGCUGACUCUCAUUGUGAGCGACCCAUUAAUGUUGGAGAUGAUUCGGAUUCUGAUAUCAGUGACAGUCAUGGCAAGUCAGAGAAGAAGAACAAAGCAAAUACCGAUUCUAUUUUAUUUUACUUUUUGCAAGAAAUAGUUAAAUCUUGAAUUUAUGUUUUGUAAUCUGAAGUUGGUGGCCAAUUUAUGGUUUUGAAUGUAGAAAGUUGAAACUUUAACUUUUACAUCUACAAGUGCUUUGCGAAUUAAGUUGGCA